UAAAGUAACAUUUUUUUUGUAAUUUUUUUGUAAUUUUUUUUCAGAGCUUGUGGGGGACAUUGUAGCAAGAAUGGAGCUUUUCUAAUGGAAGAUGAUUUGCUCUUCUGAUGAAAAUAUUUUCUAGCUCAUCUCAUUUGAAAUGAAUGUUUGUUAACAGCUUACAGAGACAACUUUUGUUCUUGUGCGGUCAGGAGCUCAAGUGACUCCACUGAAACCCUGGCAUUUAUCACAGACAAAAUUAGGUCAGAAGAGAGCACAGAGGUACUGAACUGAAAAGAGAUAAAUUCAUCCUUAGAAGGAAAAGAAUGGCUCGAGCUGCAAACUUGGGUUUAAUUUGUCUCCUCCACAUAAGGACUCCAGUACUUGCAUUCUGGUGACUACCAGCAUAGUAAUGAACCUGGUAUAUAGGAUGAAGCCCUGUACCACAGUAAGGAGUGAUGAGGGGAAACCUAAGAGUGAU
rnacentral:lncRNA from 1 species